rnacentral:tRNA from 1 species
CUCAAAGCCCCUCGCUUACACCGAGAAAAUGUCUGUGGAACCCAAACCAUUUUGA